UAUUAUACUAUGCAUAUGUACUACAUGUAGACUACACGUGGCAAAACCUGACUGGCCAUCCAGCUGGGGUGAUAGCCACUCACAAGAGGCCAAUGGGACUGGUCAUUCAGGACAGCAAUCAGGAUGAGUAAGAAGGGAAGAAAAGAGGUGAAAGAAGGAAGGCAGAAGACAACUUUGAAGAUGGGAAAACUAUUAUUGAGGUAAUAAACAAUUCGAAACUCUCAGAGCCGGGAUUUGAACUCCCAUCUCUCCUGGACUCCAGAUCUAGCACACUGUUGACUGCCGUGCUUCCAGUUCAGAUUCCAGGGCUCUACGAGGGCAAUGAAGGUUAAGUGACUUGCCCAGGGUCACACAGCUAGUAAGUGUCAAAUGUCUGAGGUCAGAUUUGAACUAAGGUCCUCCUGAAUCAAAGACCGGGUGCUUUAUCCACCAUACUACCUAGCUGCCCCUUAUCUAUCAGUUUCUUAAACCCAGACAAAACAUUUGUAAUAUUUGCCCAAUUUCCCAGGUGCAAAUACUCACAUUGAAAAUUUAAGACUAGGCCUUCCUGAGAUGGUUUGAGCUGCCUCCUGCACUCCUCUAGGUGUUCCCCAAUCCUCUGUCCGGAGGCCCCUCCUCUUUUCACUCCAUACAAUCUCACCUGGAGAUCUCAUCAGCCCCUGUGGGUUCAGUUAGCAUCUCUUUCAUGCCUAUAUCAUCUAUAGGUGGUGUGAUGAAGCAGCUGGGUGGUGCAAGGAAUGGAGAGAGCAGCGGGCCUGGAUGCAGGCUGUUUCUCACCAUAUUCCAUCCAAAGCCUCCCCAGUGCCUUUGCUGAAUCUCCCCCUUGUGCUGACUUAGUUUCCCUGGCUUCUUUCAGGACCCAGCUCAAAUCUUACCCUUUGCAGAAGACCUUUCCCUGUACCCCCAGUUUAGAGUAGUUUCUUCCCUGAGAUUAUCUUCAAUCUACUCUGUACAUACCUUAGACAUAGAAGUGACUCACAUGUUGUGUCCCCCACUAGAAUUUAAACUCCUUGAGGGCAGGGAGGGCUUUGUUUUUGCCCUUUUUUGUAAUCCCGAUGUUUAGCAUUAUGUCUGCCACAUAGUAAAUAGUCAAAUAUUCUUUCAGAUGGCAUUUAUUUCAUUUUUUUUAUGGGGCAAUGGGGGGUAAGUGACUUGCCCAGGGUCACACAGCUAGUAAGUGUCAAGUGUCUGAGGCCAUAUUUGAACUCAGGUCCUCCUGAAUCCAGGGCUGGUGCUUUAUCCACUGCGCCACCUAGCCGCCCCCUGCAGAUGGCAUUUAUUUCAACGACCUUGUGAGCUCACCUCAUCACUAUGCUAUCACAAGGGAUGAGAUCCAAGUGUGUAUAAACCAAACCUACAGGUCUAAGGUGGGAGUGGGAAUUUGGAGGCCAGACGUUGGAAUCAAGACAGGGAGAUCAGCCGUCAGUACUGGAUCAGGGGCAGGACACAGUGAGUGUCGCUGAGAUGUCUAUUUUUCUACCUCAACUCACCCCUACAGAUCUUCAGCCUUUCAUUAUGACAGCACAUUGGUAGAGGAAGGAAACAAGCAUUUCUUAAUGACCUACUAUGUGCCAGGUGGGUAGUUAAGUGGUGAAGUGGUUAGAGUUCAGGGCCUGAAGUCAGGAACAUUCAUCUUCCAGAAUUCAAAUCCAGCCUCAGACACCUACUUGCUGUGUGAUUCUGGGCAAGCUGAUUUACCCUGUUUGCCUUAGUUUCCU